rnacentral:tRNA from 1 species
GCCCGUAUAGCUCAGCCGAGGCAGAGCGCACCCUUGGUAAGGGUGAGGUCGCCGGUUCGACUCCGGCUACGGGCUCCA